UGAGUACGAGAUGCUACGGCGUCGAAGCAGUCUAUGUCAUACUUCCAAGAAAAGCUCGCACUGUCAUAAACAAAUAAUGCCUGUACCAUAACCGACACAGGUGGGUAGGUAGAGUAUACUAAGGGGCGCGAGAUAACUCUCUCUAAGGAACUCGGCAAAAUGACUCCGUAACUUCGGGAGAAGGAGUGCCUUUUUUAAGGUUGCAAUAACCAGAUCCAAGCAACUGUUUAUCAAAAACACAGGUCUCCGCAAAGUCGUAAGACGAUGUAUGGGGGCUGACGCCUGCCCAGUGCCAGAAGGUUAAAGAAGUUGGUUAGUCUCGGCGAAGCUGAUAACUGAAGCCCUGGUGAACGGCGGCCGUAACUAUAACGGUCCUAAGGUAGCGAAAUUCCUUGUCGGGUAAGUUCCGACCCGCACGAAAGGCGUAAUGAUUUGGAUACUGUCUCAGAGAGGGGCUCGGUGAAAUAGACUUGUCUGUGAAGAUGCGGACUACCUGCACCUGGACAGAAAGACCCUAUGAAGCUUUACUGUAACUUGAAAUUGAAAUCGGACUUUAUUGCGCAGCAUAGGUGGGAGGCGUUGAAGAUAUUCUUGCGGGAAAAUCGGAGCCAUCAGUGAGAUACCACUCUUGUAAUGUUAGAUUUCUAACUUUGUAUCAUUAUCUGGUCAAAGAACAGUUUCAGGCGGGCAGUUUGACUGGGGCGGUCGCCUCCCAAACGGUAACGGAGGCGCACAAAGGUUUCCUCUGAACGGGUAGAAAUCGUAUCUAGAGUGUAAAGGCAUAAGGAAGCUUGACUGUGAGACCUACAAGUCGAGCAGGGACGAAAGUCGGUCUUAGUGAUCUGACGGUGCUGAGUGGAAAGGCCGUCACUCAACGGAUAAAAGUUACUCUAGGAUAACAGGCUGAUCUCCCCCAAGAGUUCACAUCGACGGGGAGGUUUGGCACCUCGAUGUCGGCUCAUCGCAUCCUGGGGCGGUAGUACGUCCCAAGGGUUGGGCUGUUCGCCCAUGAAAGCGGUACGCGAGCUGGGUUCAGAACGUCGUGAGACAGUUCGGUCCAUAUCCGGUGUAGGCGUUAGAAUAUUGAGAGGAGCCUUCUUUAGUACGAGAGGACCGAGAAGGACAUACCUAUGGUGUACCAGUUAUCGUGCCAACGGUAAACGCUGGGUAGCUAUGUAUGGAGUGGAUAACCGCUGAAAGCAUCUAAGUGGGAAGCCCACCUCAAGAUAAG
rnacentral:rRNA from 1 species